GCUGGGUUUGUUCCCAAGCCAGCGGCAGCUGGGAUGACCCAGAUCCAGGGCUGGUUGUCCCUGCUCUGUGCCUUUCCACUUCCAGGACGGCCACUGUGGCAUUCCCAUCAGGAUGGGAAAACCCAGCACGCGUUCUGUGGGUGGCGUCAUUUCCUCUGUUGGAAGAAUGAGGGCACAAUGGGACAUUUAAAACCCCAGAGAGCAAAAGGAGGAGCGGUGCUGCAGUGAAGAAUUCACAUUGGAGCUAUGUUAAGAGGACGCCCAGGAGUCUGCUGGAAGCCAUAUCUCCUGUGCAAGCACUUGAACUGAGCCCUGCAGAGCAACAUUACCACUAUUCACUAAGAAAGUCAGAAUUUGUCCUUUAAAAAAUUAUCAACUGCUUUCAACCUGAACUGGCCCCCUUCCACCCUCCCCCUUUUCUCUCCCAACCAGACCCCUCUCUCUCUCUACUUCCCAGAGAUUAUUUUCUUCCCCCUUCUGAGUAGGAUUGUAGCAUCCACACUUUGGUGUGACCUUCUUUCUUCUUGGGUUUCACAUGGUUUGUGAGUUGUAUCAUGGGUAUUCCGAGUUUCUUUUGGCGAAUAUCCUCUUAUCAGUGAAUGUAUACCAUGUAUAUUCUUUUGUGACGGGGUUACCUCAGUCAGAAUGAUAUUUUUCAAGUUCCAUCCAUUUCCCUCAGUCAGUAUGCGAUUUUUCAAGUUCCAUCCAUUUGCCUGCGAAUUUCUUGAAGUGAUUGUUUUUAAUAGCUGAGUAGUACUCCAUAGUAUAAUUGUACCACACUUUCUGUAUCCAGUCCUCUGUUGAGGGACAUCUGGGUUGUUUCCACCUUCUGGACUAUUAUAAAUAAAGUUGCUAUGAACAUAGUA